GCUGUUUGAUCCUUCCUUUCAUCACUAUGUGGUGGAAAGCACUUUGGCUGGCCCUAAGCUCAGGCAGAAAGAAUAAAAAGGAAUCAUGUGGAAUUUCCAAAUGUCAGGACUGGGAAAAGAAAGGGGCAUGAAAUCACCACCAUGCUAUGGACUCCACAUUUAGUCACUGCCUUGAGGAUUCAAACAAAUAGGCGAGUUUCUGCCCUAGAGACCUCAUCUUUGAUUGGUGACUACCUCUCCUGGAUCAGAUUUUUGUUUCAGGAAAAGUUCAAACCAUACUUCAUUUAAUUUUCAAUUUUCUGGCCUUCUCUUCAUUAUAUGCUGCUUUAUCCUCAUUAGCCCUUUAGUUAUCACUCCCACCCUUAGUCUUUCAUUAAUAGCAAAUUAACACUGCCACUGUUCCUUGGAGGGAUUGUAACAACUUUCACCCACCAUUUCUCUUCAAAUUUCAGGACCAAGAAGUCUCUCUCUGGCUAUCACUACCAUUUAUGUGUUAUCUCUUUCACUAAAAUAUAUUUCUAGAGUUCAGGCAUUUCCUUUUUUGUAUUUAUAUCUCCAGUACUUACAUAUAGUAAGCAUGAUGCUUUUCAUCCUUUUAUGAUGGCUUUUCAUCCAUUUAUUUAUUCAGCUGGCAGGUUGGAGGCUCACUAUCAGAAAGCCAGCCCAGGUUGUAAUCCCAGCACCUGGCACAGAACCUAGAACAUAGUGUUUUUCCUUUUUGUAUUUAUAUCCCCAGCACUUAGCAUAAUGUUUGGCAUACAGUAAGCAUGUAAUAAAUGCUUUUCAUUCAUUCAUUCAUCCAAAUGGAAGGCUGGAGGAUCACUAUCAAAAAUCCCAGCUAGGGAUUCCUAGUACAGAACCUAGCACAUAGUAAAGUUUAAUAAAUAUUUAUCAGUUGAUUAAUGAUUGUUUUAUUAAGAUGAAUAUUGCCUUGCUUUGGAGAUGUUCCAAUUAGUCCUAGUCCAUGUUAAUAUGCUCAUCAAUGAGAUGGAUAAUGAAAAAAUAGUAUGCUACUAAAUUGAAAGUUUCAGGGCAUUCAUAAUGACCUAGAAAAAAUUGUAGAAGUAAUUGAACCAAAGAGAAUUUUUUUUUGGUUAAGGACAACUAAUGGUGAUUAUCCUUGUAAACAAAAUCAGAAUAGAUUUGUGCAAAUACGGGAUGGAUAGGCUAGUCCUCACCAUUGUGGGGCCAUAGCUGAAAAAAAUAAACCAAAUUUAAAAGAACAAGGUAGCCCUCUUAAUUUUUUUUUUUACUUUGGUCAUGCUCUUCCUUUUACAAGACACUAACAAGCUCAGAACAUCUUUGUCCUAAAUCAGUUUCUACAAAAGCUUAAAGGAUCAACUGGAUCUUCUUUUAUUUCUAAAUUAAUAAAAUUUUAUUGAAGACAAACUUUGUUCAGCAUUUAUAUCUGCUCAACUUCACUUGAAAUGGGAAUUGGCUUCUCUGGAUGAAUUCAAGACUUUCUCAGUAAUGUUAUUCACCAUCACUUCAGACCAGCUAUACUAAUUAAUGAUUCAUAAGACAGUGCUAAAAAGCAUUAAAGUAUUAUUUGUGCCCCUGCAACCAUAAGCUAGUAUAUGCUUACUUGAUAAACAAAAAGAACAUGCUAAUUUGCAGAAGGUAUCUAUUCCUAGAGAACACGGUAAAUGGAGAGAGAUCUGACCCCAAUUGGGAUGAGAGGCUGUAGGCUCAAUUUCUGCCUUUGUAUUUUUCUAAUUAUGUUUUCCUAAAUUUCAGAAAAUCUUUUUCCUUUUCUAUAAAAUGGGGGAGUUGGACUAGAUGAUUUCUGCUGUCCCCUCUAAAGCUAUGUAUAUGAUCUUGUAGCAAGAGUGUAACUGUAUCCCCCAGCUAGAGUAUGGCACAAAAUUAUCUCUAAAUAGUGAGAUUGGUUCAGGUACAUUAGUCAGAGGUAGCUAGUAAGUGUCUGCAGUUAGAUUUGAGCUUGAGUCUUCCUGACUGCAGUUCCAGUGCUCUAUCCAGGGUGCCACAUAUAUAUGGGAUAAAUUUGAGGUGAUCCACACAGAGAAGGCACUAGGUUUAAGGGAAACUGGGAAAGGUUUCUCAGAGAAGAUGGAUCUUAAUUGGGAUUUGGCAGAAGC
ensembl:lncRNA